GCAGUAUUUCCUCCAUCCCUCUUACCAUUGCCAGCUACAGAAAAUAGGAGCUCAGGGGAUUAAACUCUGACAGCACACUUGUAAUUUUUACUUUAUCAGGAGAUGUAGCUGGCUGUUCAGAAUAUCAACACAUUGGCAUGGCUGUUGUUUUUUCUCCGUGGGUGCUUUGCAGCUUUGAGUGCCAGUCAAAUACCUGUUGGGAUAGAACUUCACAUUCUUUGAAAAAUAGACAUCGUGCUGUGGACAUGCC
rnacentral:lncRNA from 12 species